UCUUAUUUUGGCAGUGGUCACCAAAAACUGUCUGGUACGAAUACACUAAAAUUCUGCAUCAUUACAAACAAAUACACAGCAUAUAAACACACAAUUUUUCCAGUGUAACACUGUCCCCCAGAGAGCAAAGAAGGUCUAGUAUUAAAAAGUAAUUGCCUGGAGCACUUAGCAGGACUUAUCAGUUGAUAUUAACUCUAAACCUCUGGCUACAUUCUUUUUACAACCCUUGUGUCAGAUUUAUCAUAGGUAAUGUAACUGUUUUGACAUUGUAAGUUAGAGACAGAGACUCAUGUCUUAUUGCAUGAGUCACUUUCA